rnacentral:rRNA from 1 species
UACGGAGGGUGCAAGCGUUAUCCGGAUUCACUGGGUUUAAAGGGUGCGUAGGUGGGUCUGUAAGUCCGUGGUGAAAUCUCCGAGCUUAACUUGGAAACUGCCAUGGAUACUAUAGGUCUUGAAUAUUGUGGAGGUCAGCGGAAUAUGUCAUGUAGCGGUGAAAUGCUUAGAGAUGACAUAGAACACCAAUUGCGAAGGCAGCUGGCUACACAUAUAUUGACACUGAGGCACGAAAGCGUGGGGAUCAAACAGG